UCAACAAUGCACUUGCUGGAUUUCGGUUAGAGAAAUGGCAAAGUUUGUUCUUAUUAUAAGUACUGAAUAGAUUCAAAAAUUGUUUUCCGACGAGCUAAAUCUUUUACGGACAAAUCGAAGAAGACGUCUCAUUUGAGUGUUUAAUUGGUGUUCGUAUUUAAGCCAUCGUCUUGGGAUUGGUUCUUACCACGUCACUACCAAAAACAAGAGGAAAUAAAUAGGUUUAAUGCACGAAUCUUCGCUCGUUACUAGUGACGUAUUUCUGUUUUGGUUACAGAAAAAAAGUCGACAGAAGUUUUAUUCUACUCUGUUGAUAAUCCACGAUUGUUUGCGUCCGAGAAGACAGAGAGGGUGAAGAUUGUGUUGUCAUUUCAGCCGUACGACAAAAUGCAUGCAAGCAUUUGGAAUUCUCGUCCUCACAGGCAGGAGAAAACCUCGUUGACGAUUUCAUCAGAAAGAAAAAAAAAACAAGGAAGAUUUUAACGAAGCGGAAGAGGAGACUUCUCAGGUAACAUUUGAUGAUGUAUGGAAUUCUCGUUCUCGUGGACUGUGGUAAUUUUAAAAACACUUUUCAAGAAACGAUUGAGUUUGUAUAACUUUUAUUUCUGCAAUGAAAGCUGUAAAAUAGAAAGACCGAAGGGAAGUUAAUUCUUCAUAAAAUACAUUUAUACCUAAUUUUCUUAUUUUUAAAAUUUACAGAUAAAACUAAUUUGAAUUUAUUUCAUACGUAUAAAUAUAUUGUUCCUAAAUAAGAAACAUCAAUUUUGAAUUCGUUUCAUUUUUCAGGUUUUAAACCGAGCCGUAAUUUUAUGGUCUGAAAUGAAUGUGCAAGGAAGAAUUUCUAAAAUUACUAGUUUAAGUUUGAAAUAUUUAAAUUUAAUUAUCUUAGAAAAUAAUGUGUAACGAUAUUCUCGUAUCUGAUUUCAUUCGGGACUUUUUUGUUACUUUCAGAUUCACUACCCGUCAAUCAAAAACAUUCCUGUUAACUAAAUGAAGAAUAGUUUCUAGAAAAACAUAAGAAUAGUCGAUGGAUGUGUUGGACUUCUGUCGUUAACGGAACACUAAAAUUGAAGCCAGUGUUGUGAUAUCAUUACAAGAAUAUAUCAACAAGGAAAACAUCGUUCAUGCGAGUUCAAACAUUGAGAAGAGAAAGAAUGGGAAGUAU